rnacentral:rRNA from 1 species
AGAGUUUGAUCCUGGCUCAGAACGAACGCUGGCGGCGUGCUUAACACAUGCAAGUCGAACGCGAAAAUUUUCCUCGGAAAGUGAGUAGAGUGGCGCACGGGUGAGUAACGCGUAAGUUAUCUACCUCGGCAUCCGGAAUAACUCACCGAAAGGUGUGCUAAUACCGGAUACGUUGAGUAAUCAAGAAAGGUGGCCUCUGAAUAUGCUACUGUGCUGAGAUGAGCUUGCGUACCAUUAGCUAGUUGGUAGGGUAAUGGCCUACCAAGGCAACGAUGGUUAGCGGGUCUGAGAGGAUGAUCCGCCACACUGGAACUGAAACACGGACCAGACUCCUACGGGAGGCAGCAGUGAGGAAUAUUGCACAAUGGGCGCAAGCCUGAUGCAGCAACGCCGCGUGAGUGAUGAAGGCCUUCGGGUCGUAAAACUCUGUCCUAAGGGAAGAAGAAGUGACGGUACCUUAGGAGGAAGCCCCGGCUAACUACGUGCCAGCAGCCGCGGUAAUACGUAGGGGGCAAGCGUUAUCCGGAAUCACUGGGCGUAAAGGGUGCGUAGGCGGCUGAUCAAGCCAGGGGUGAAAGGCUGUGGCUUAACCAUGGUAAGCCUUUGGAACUGGUCAGCUUGAGUGCAGGAGAGGAAAGCGGAAUUCCUAGUGUAGCGGUGAAAUGCGUAGAUAUUAGGAGGAACACCCGUGGCGAAGGCGGCUUUCUGGACUGUAACUGACGCUGAGGCACGAAAGCGUGGGGAGCAAACAGGAUUAGAUACCCUGGUAGUCC